GCCAUAUCACCCUGCAGCCCAAGACUGGUUGCCCACUGAAGCUAAGCAGGGUUGAGCCUGGUCAGUACCUGGAUGGGAGACCUCCUGGGAAAACUAGGUUGC
rnacentral:rRNA from 1 species